rnacentral:rRNA from 1 species
GGGGAAUCUUGGACAAUGGGGGCAACCCUGAUCCAGCCAUGCCGCGUGAGUGAAGAAGGCCCUAGGGUCGUAAAACUCUUUCGCCUGUGAUGAUAAUGACAGUAGCAGGUAAAGAAACCCCGGCUAACUCCGUGCCAGCAGCCGCGGUAAUACGGAGGGGGUUAGCGUUGUUCGGAAUUACUGGGCGUAAAGCGCACGUAGGCGGAUUAGAAAGUUAGAGGUGAAAUCCCGGGGCUCAACCCCGGAACUGCCUUUAAAACUACUAGUCUAGAGUUCGAGAGAGGUGAGUGGAAUUCCGAGUGUAGAGGUGAAAUUCGUAGAUAUUCGGAGGAACACCAGUGGCGAAGGCGGCUCACUGGCUCGAUACUGACGCUGAGGUGCGAAAGUGUGGGGAGCAAAC